rnacentral:rRNA from 1 species
AGCGAACGCUGGCGGCAGGCUUAACACAUGCAAGUCGAACGCCCCGCAAGGGGAGUGGCAGACGGGUGAGUAACACGUGGGAACGUACCCUUUGGUUCGGAAUAACUUGGGGAAACUCAAGCUAAUACCGGAUAAGCCCUUAUGGGGAAAGGUUUACUGCCGAAGGAUCGGCCCGCGUCUGAUUAGCUAGUUGGUGAGGUAAUGGCUCACCAAGGCGGCGAUCAGUAGCUGGUCUGAGAGGAUGAUCAGCCACACUGGGACUGAGACACGGCCCAGACUCCUACGGGAGGCAGCAGUGGGGAAUAUUGGACAAUGGGGGCAACCCUGAUCCAGCCAUGCCGCGUGAGUGAUGAAGGCCUUAGGGUUGUAAAGCUCUUUUACCCGGGACGAUAAUGACUGUACCGGGAGAAUAAGCCCCGGCUAACUUCGUGCCAGCAGCCGCAGUAA